rnacentral:rRNA from 1 species
CAGUCGUACCGGCGGAUAAUCAGCCUUUCGGGUGCGAUUCUGUGGGGCGUGAGGAGCUUAACCGCCUUCAUGUUUUGCAUAUUCGUGCACAUUUGGUGUACUUGUCCGUGUGGUGGGCUAACAUCAAUUUCGGUCGUCAUAAAAUGAUUGGAGGAAUGUAGCUUUGAUCUCGUAUCGAAGUGUUAUAGACUCUGGUAGAUGUGACGAUUGGGGAUUGAGGAUUGCAACGGAUACCCCCGUUCGGGGCCUACCCGUCUGAUCUCUGAUCGUUGCUUUGGUGCCG